ensembl:lncRNA
GUGGUGCUGGAGAAGACUCUUUUGAAUCCCUUGGACAGCAAGGAGAUCAAACCAGUCAAUCUAAAGGAAACCAACCCUUGAAUACUAAUUGGAAAGAGUGAUGCUGAAGCUCAAGCUCCAAUACUUUGGCCACCUGAUGCGAAGAGUACACUCACUGGAAAAGACCCAGAUACUGGGAAAGAUUGAGUAAAAGGGGACGGAGGACAGAGGAUCAGACGGUUGCAUGGCAUCACCGACUCAAUGGACAUGAGUUUGAGCAAGCUCCGGGAGAUGGUGAAGGACAGGGAAGCCUGGCAUGCUGCAGUCUAUGGGGUCACAACGAGUCAGACAGGACUGAGCGACUGAACAACAGCAGCGAGAAACAAAAGAAAGCUCAAUCUAGGUAGCCAUUUGCAGUCUCCCUUCUGCUGUCCACAGUCCUCCGAGAGAAAAAGGUGGAAAGGAAACUGGGAAAGAGGCAGAGAUGUCAAGAGGGUUUCGGGAAGUCUUCAAAAGGCUGAGAACAGAAAGUAGCUUGUGUUAGGUAGGGGAGCCAGCGGCUAACAGAAAAGGUAAGACAGAGCAGUCGCGAAACAAAAGCGUUAAACCAGCAAAGGAUGACAGCGUGGGGGAGGGGCAAGGUCAAAUGGAGUCGUUUUUUAAGGCAAAGCUCUGGGGUGAGGGCCAAACUUGAGCUGGCGAGCACAAAAGAGAAGGCACUCCGGGAGGCGGCUGUGAGAGGUGGAACGAGUCAGAGAUGACGAUGAGAAUGGAAAGAAAUCAAAGGGUCCGUCGAGUGAAGGGGGGCACGAAGGAAACGCGCCUGGGAGGGCCCCGCUUUGUUAGGCGAGGGCGGCGGCGGGGGCUGCACGUGCAGCCGGGAGCGCCCGGGGCCGCGGGGCUCCACGCCGGGGAGCGCCCGGGGGGAGGCGCGACGCGCGGGGGGCGGCCCUCCAGUUACCCGGGCCUCUUGCCCGCGGGCCCCGCGCUACAAAAGGGGCGCAUUAUCAAGUCCUAGGCCGCAGCAGAUUGCGGCUGUCCUGCCA